ensembl:lncRNA
CCAUUCAACGAGGCUUCCUCCUGUUUCCCUAAAAUAAAAUAAACCGAGUGUUAAUAACAGGCUAAUAACAUCCACGUCGAUUAUUCAACGUGCUAUUCAACGUGCUGCCAUGGUUACACGGGACCGUCAGCAGACCACUCGGAUAACGACGCUUAUCUUUGUAAAAAGAAACAAAAACAGAUUGAAUCCAGUAAAACACGGAACUGAUGUGAUCGCGCUGGAGGGGGGGGGGGGGGGGGCGCCGUGAUAUCCUCCGUGAGUUCACUCACCGCCCCUCCUCCGGGAUCACCGGCCCUCGCCUGGCCCCCGCGGUUCUGAACUCUUGCUUGUGCUGAGCCCGAAGGACCCCCUGUGUCUCCACGCUCCACAUCAUCUUCAUCUUUCUUUUCUUCUUCUUCCUAAAGGGCUCAUCCCUUUACAACAACACGAGGAACUUAACCUGACGAGGACGGAGAUCCCUUCACCCCGAGCCUCUUGGAUUUACUUCAUCCAAAAGGAAGUCCCAUCGAUUCCCGCUUUCCGACAAAGCACAUUAAUUCCAGUGAGCUUUUUUCUUUUGGAAAGGCCUUAAUCAC